rnacentral:lncRNA from 1 species
UAAAGACAUGAGAACAGCUGAGAAUACAAAUAAUGGAAACAUGACAAUGUCCACUAAAGACACUAAGGACACGUUAGUUUCUUAUUUAUUUAUUUAUUUAUUUAUUUUGAGAUAGAGUCUUGCUCUAUCGCCCAGGCUAGAGUGCAGUGGCGCAAUCUCUGCUCACUGCAAACUCCGCCUCCUGGGUUCAUGCCAUUCUUCUGUCUCAGCCUCCCGAGUAGCUGGGACUACAGGCAACUGCCACUACACCUGGCUAAUUUUUUGUAUUUUUAGUAGAGACGGAGUUUCACCGUGUUAGCCAGAAUGGUCUCUAUCUUCUGACCUUGGGACAUGUUAGUUUCAAUCACCUGUGAGUGUGGAAGGGAGGGCUCAUUGAGUGAGCCCUUGGACCUUUGGAAGCCUGUGUGUUGCAAUGAAGCAUUCUACCUGGGGAUGCUGUGGCAUCUCUGGAAAAAUCAGGCCAACAGCAGACCUCCUAUCUCUUAGUCACUGUAAGAGUAUCCAAGCAGGUAAAUUUGGUGACUUUGGAGGGUUGGUUCCUUACCAAAAAAUACCUGCUUUUAUUUUAUUUUAUUUUUGAAACAGGGUCUCACUCUGUUGCCAGGCUGGAGUGCAGUGGCAUAAUCACAGCUCAUGGCAGCCUCGACCUCCCAGGCCCAAGUGAUCCUCCUGCCUCAGCCUCUCGAGUAGCUGGGACUACAGGGGUGUCCCACUAUGCCUGGCUAAUUUUUAAAUUUUUUUGUAGGAUGAGGUCUCGCUGUGUGCCCAGGCUUGUCUUAAACUCCUGGGCUCAAGCAAUCCUCCCGCCCUGGCCUCCCAAAAUGCUGGGAUUACAGGUGUGAGCCACUGCACCCGCCCCUGAUUUUAUUUAAUCAGAGUUGGCCAUUUGAGGAUUUAUGCCACAUGAUUUGUGUCUAUGUAAGCUCAGGAUUCUUUAUCUCUCUUAAAGUUAGAAGAAGCAGGCAUGGCACAUGGCUAUGAAGACAUCAUAGGUAGCACUCAGGCCGUCUGUUUGGCCAGCUUACCACUUUGUGGAUUUCAUGUGAAAGCAAGUCUCCACUCUGGAAUAAGGGUUUGUUGCCUGACUUUCCAGGGGAGUGUACUCUACUUUCCACAGCCUCCUUUUCUGUGCUUCCUGCUCACAGAAAUCGAGAGCACUGCUCAAGAAUCUGCUCAAGAACUCUGUGUCUCUGGCCAGGCGCAGUGGCUCAUGCCUGUAAUCCCAGCACUUUGGGAGACUGAGGCGGGCAGAUCACUUGAGCUCACGAGUUCAAGACCAUCCUGGGCAACAUGGCAAAACCCCGUCUCUACCGAAAAAAAAAAAAUAGCCAGGUGGGGUGGCAUGUUCCUGUAGUCCCAGCUACUUGGGAGGCUGAGGUGGGAGGUUGGCUUGAGCCCAGGAGGCGAGGUUGCAGUGCCACUGCACUUCAGCCUGGGCGACAGAGACAGAGAACUCUGUGUUUUGCAUGAGCAACACUGCUGGGUGGCACCAAGCUCCCUUUUGUCUUGUUGCGAGUAUUCCUAGGCUCCUCAGGAAACUGUUGGGUUUACCCACUGUGCUUGCGAGUGAUGUGCCUUCAAAGCCCACUUAUGGCUC